UAUACAUGCAAGUCGAGCGAAUGGAUUAAGAGCUUGCUCUUAUGAAGUUAGCGGCGGACGGGUGAGUAACACGUGGGUAACCUGCCCAUAAGACUGGGAUAACUCCGGGAAACCGGGGCUAAUACCGGAUAACAUUUUGAACCGCAUGGUUCGAAAUUGAAAGGCGGCUUCGGCUGUCACUUAUGGAUGGACCCGCGUCGCAUUAGCUAGUUGGUGAGGUAACGGCUCACCAAGGCAACGAUGCGUAGCCGACCUGAGAGGGUGAUCGGCCACACUGGGACUGAGACACGGCCCAGACUCCUACGGGAGGCAGCAGUAGGGAAUCUUCCGCAAUGGACGAAAGUCUGACGGAGCAACGCCGCGUGAGUGAUGAAGGCUUUCGGGUCGUAAAACUCUGUUGUUAGGGAAGAACAAGUGCUAGUUGAAUAAGCUGGCACCUUGACGGUACCUAACCAGAAAGCCACGGCUAACUACGUGCCAGCAGCCGCGGUAAUACGUAGGUGGCAAGCGUUAUCCGGAAUUAUUGGGCGUAAAGCGCGCGCAGGUGGUUUCUUAAGUCUGAUGUGAAAGCCCACGGCUCAACCGUGGAGGGUCAUUGGAAACUGGGAGACUUGAGUGCAGAAGAGGAAAGUGGAAUUCCAUGUGUAGCGGUGAAAUGCGUAGAGAUAUGGAGGAACACCAGUGGCGAAGGCGACUUUCUGGUCUGUAACUGACACUGAGGCGCGAAAGCGUGGGGAGCAAACAGGAUUAGAUACCCUUUGGUAGUCCACGCCGUAAACGAUGAGUGCUAAGUGUUAGAGGGUUUCCGCCCUUUAGUGCUGAAGUUAACGCAUUAAGCACUCCGCCUGGGGGAGUACGGCCGGCAAGGCUGAAACUCAAAGGA
rnacentral:rRNA from 1 species